AGGGCGCACGGUGGAUGCCUUGGCACUAGGAGCCGAUGAAGGACGGAACUAAUACCGAUAUGCUUCGGGGAGCUAUAAGUAAGCUUUGAUCCGGAGAUUUCCGAAUGGGGGAACCCAGUACACAUCAGUGUAUUGCUUGUCAGUGAAUACAUAGCUGGCCGGCGGCAGACGCGGGGAACUGAAACAUCUCAGUACCCGCAGGAAGAGAAAGAAAACUCGAUUCCCAUAGUAGCGGCGAGCGAAGUGGGAAGAGCCCAAACCGAGAAGCUUGCUUCUCGGGGUUGUAGGACUGGACAUUGGAGUUACCAAAGUCCGACGUAGUCGAAGUCAGCUGGAAAGCUGCGCCACAGAAGGUGAAAGCCCUGUAAGCGAAACGUCGAACCCUCCGUCCAGGAUCCUGAGUACGGCGGAACACGUGAAAUUCCGUCGGAAUCCGGGAGGACCAUCUCCCAAGGCUAAAUACUCCCUAGUGACCGAUAGUGAACCAGUACCGUGAGGGAAAGGUGAAAAGCACCCCGGAAGGGGAGUGAAACAGUUCCUGAAACCGUGUGCCUACAAUUAGUCAAAGCCCGUUAAUGGGUAAUGGCGUGCCUUUUGUAGAAUGAACCGGCGAGUUACGUUUGCUUGCGAGGUUAAGAUGAAAAGUCGGAGCCGUAGCGAAAGCGAGUCUGAACAGGGCGAAUGAGUAAGAGAUGUAGACCCGAAACCAAGUGACCUACCCAUGACCAGGUUGAAGGUGUGGUGAAACACACUGGAGGACCGAACCCAUGUAUGUUGAAAAAUGCUGGGAUGAGUUGUGGGUAGCGGUGAAAUUCCAAACGAACUUGGAGAUAGCUGGUUCUCUCCGAAAUAGCUUUAGGGUUAGCCUCGGAGGAUGGAUCAUGGAGGUAGAGCACUGUUUGAACUAGGGGCCCAUCAAGGGUUACUGAAUUCAGAUAAACUCCGAAUACCAUCGAUCUUACUCCGGGAGUCAGACAGUGAGCGAUAAGGUCCAUUGUCGAAAGGGGAACAGCCCAGAUCACCAGUUAAGGUCCCUAAAUUUAUGCUAAGUGGAAAAGGAUGUGGCGUUGCACAGACAACUAGGAUGUUGGCUCAGAAGCAGCCACCAUUUAAAGAGUGCGUAAUAGCUCACUAGUCGAGUGGCACUGCGCCGAAAAUAUACCGGGGCUAAGCAUAAUACCGAAACUGUGGGUGCACCCGUAAGGGUGCGCGGUAGGAGAGCGUUCUAAGGGCGUUGAAGGUCGAUCGUGAGGACGGCUGGAGCGCUUAGAAGUGAGAAUGCCGGCAUGAGUAGCGAAAGAUCAGUGAGAAUCUGAUCCACCGUAUGACUAAGGUUUCCUGGGGAAGGCUCGUCCUCCCAGGGUUAGUCGGGAUCUAAGGCGAGGCCGAGAGGCGUAGUCGAUGACAAGCAGGUUGAGAUUCCUGCACUAGUUUAUUUUGUUUAAGCGAUGGAGGGACGCAGGAGGCUAAGGAAAGCGCACGGCUGGAAAUGUGCGCCCAAGCAGCAAGUCUGACAGCGAGUGAAAUGCUUGCAGUCUUAAGGACAAGCUGUGAUGGGGAGCGAAAUUAUAGUAGCGAAGUUCCUGAUGUCACACUGCCAAGAAAAGCUUCUAGUGAGAAAUAAACUACCCGUACCGCAAACCGACACAGGUAGUCGAGGAGAGUAUCCUCAGGUGAGCGAGCGAACUCUCGUUAAGGAACUCGGCAAAAUGACCCCGUAACUUCGGAAGAAGGGGUGCUGACCGCAAGGUCAGCCGCAGUGAAUAGGCCCAAACAACUGUUUAUCAAAAACACAGGUCUCUGCUAAAUCGUAAGAUGAUGUAUAGGGGCUGACGCCUGCCCGGUGCUGGAAGGUUAAGAGGAUGAGUUAGCGCAAGCGAAGCCCAGAAUUGAAGCCCCAGUAAACGGCGGCCGUAACUAUAACGGUCCUAAGGUAGCGAAAUUCCUUGUCGGGUAAGUUCCGACCCGCACGAAAGGCGUAAUGAUUUGGGCACUGUCUCAACGAGAGACUCGGUGAAAUUAUAGUACCCGUGAAGAUGCGGGUUACCCGCGACAGGACGGAAAGACCCCAUGGAGCUUUACUGUAGCUUGAUAUUGAGUGUUUGUACCGCUUGUACAGGAUAGGUAGGAGCCGUAGAGAUCGGAACGCUAGUUUCGAUGGAGGCGUUGGUGGGAUACUACCCUAGCUGUAUGAACACUCUAACCCGCGCCACUAAUCGUGGCGGGAGACAGUGUCAGGUAGGCAGUUUGACUGGGGCGGUCGCCUCCUAAAAUGUAACGGAGGCGCCCAAAGGUUCCCUCAGAAUGGUUGGAAAUCAUUCGCAGAGUGUAAAGGUAUAAGGGAGCUUGACUGCGAGACUGACAAGUCGAGCAGGGACGAAAGUCGGGCUUAGUGAUCCGGUGGUUCCGUAUGGAAGGGCCAUCGCUCAACGGAUAAAAGCUACCCUGGGGAUAACAGGCUUAUCUCCCCCAAGAGUCCACAUCGACGGGGAGGUUUGGCACCUCGAUGUCGGCUCAUCGCAUCCUGGGGCUGUAGUCGGUCCCAAGGGUUGGGCUGUUCGCCCAUUAAAGCGGUACGCGAGCUGGGUUCAGAACGUCGUGAGACAGUUCGGUCCCUAUCCGUCGCGGGCGCAGGAAAUUUGAGAGGAGCUGUCCUUAGUACGAGAGGACCGGGAUGGACGUUCCGCUGGUGUACCAGUUGUGCCGCCAGGCGCAUCGCUGGGUAGCUAUGAACGGCAGGGAUAAACGCUGAAAGCAUCUAAGUGUGAAGCCCCCCUCGAGAUGAGAUUUCCCAUUCCU
rnacentral:rRNA from 1 species